rnacentral:rRNA from 1 species
GCUUGCUCCCUGAUGUUAGCGGCGGACGGGUGAGUAACACGUGGGUAACCUGCCUGUAAGACUGGGAUAACUCCGGGAAACCGGGGCUAAUACCGGAUGGUUGUUUGAACCGCAUGGUUCAGACAUAAAAGGUGGCUUCGGCUACCACUUACAGAUGGACCCGCGGCGCAUUAGCUAGUUGGUGAGGUAACGGCUCACCAAGGCGACGAUGCGUAGCCGACCUGAGAGGGUGAUCGGCCACACUGGGACUGAGACACGGCCCAGACUCCUACGGGAGGCAGCAGUAGGGAAUCUUCCGCAAUGGACGAAAGUCUGACGGAGCAACGCCGCGUGAGUGAUGAAGGUUUUCGGAUCGUAAAGCUCUGUUGUUAGGGAAGAACAAGUGCCGUUCAAAUAGGGCGGCACCUUGACGGUACCUAACCAGAAAGCCACGGCUAACUACGUGCCAGCAGCCGCGGUAAUACGUAGGUGGCAAGCGUUGUCCGGAAUUAUUGGGCGUAAAGGGCUCGCAGGCGGUUUCUUAAGUCUGAUGUGAAAGCCCCCGGCUCAACCGGGGAGGGUCAUUGGAAACUGGGGAACUUGAGUGCAGAAGAGGAGAGUGGAAUUCCACGUGUAGCGGUGAAAUGCGUAGAGAUGUGGAGGAACACCNGUGGGCGAAAGCGACUCUCUGGUCUGUAACUGAC